GGGGAGCCUGCUUCCACAUUGUUAAUUACUCGCUCUAAAAUUCGUGACAGAAUUUCACAUGAAGAGGGAUAAAUAGCGUCUAUAAAGUACGAGUAGGCGCUCUGUUAACGGAAAGAGGUGAAUCUGAGGCAUAUUGGCAUCAGUAUAUAGCAUUUUGAAAGAAAUGUGAUGUACUGGAGAAGUUAUAUCUAUUACAUGUGAAGAGCCCCAUCCAUAAAAAAGUUUCAAACAGACAUCUCUGAACUGCUUUUAGAAGAAGGCAAAAGUAGUACCGUCCUGGCCAAGAUUUUCUAUGCUGCUCUUCUCUAUGAGGAUGAAAGUAUGGAUUAUGUUUAGGGAACCUAAGGGAAGUCAGGUAGAAAUUUUAAAACAGACAGAGGACAAAUGUAAAAAUGUAAACAUUGAAAAAACUAGAAUUUAAAUAGAUCAUGUUGCAGAAAAGGACAUUUUUCAUAAAUAGACUGUUUUGACUUGAUUUUUAAGUUAUGUCUACUUGAAAAUUCCAUGUUAAGCAUUCCUAAAAGGUAUAUUCUUCUCUCAGUACUUUUUUUUUCUGCAGCAGAGUUGCAUCACCUAGGCAGAUAUAUCUAUCAGUAUGUAAUUGCAUUGUAAAAGCUGCAGCUUCUCCAAGUUAACAAUUCAAUUUUCUGGACGACCUAUUGUCCCCAACAAAGUUAAAAAAAAAAAAAAAAAAAAAAAAAGGCUUUGAGCCUUUGGUGUUGGAAGUCUGUGAGAAAUUAAAUCUGUGACAAGUUAAUACUGCUUUCUGGCCCACAAAUGAAGCACCCACACAUCUUCUGAAGUGCUGACAAAGCAGAUGGACUGAUGUUUGUCCCUAUGGCCACACUGGGAACCAAGUUGCCAGUUGUGUCCAGUUACAAAAUGGAACCAUCCUUUUUUUUUUUUUUUUCCUUUUUUGGAGAAAAGAAUGUGUAAGAGGAAUAUUCAUCAUUUGGAAACUACCUGGUGAUGUUGUAUUUAUUCUUAUUCCUUUUCUGUAUUUAGCUUAAAAAAAAAAAAAAAUACAUUUUACUAUUUUUUGGCAAACACGUCUUCAGAUAAACCAGUAUAUAACUUGAUGGCCAAAGUCCAAUGAACUUUCUUUUGUGAUGUUUUGUGGUUAAAAUAUUAGAUG